AGUUAUACAACUCAUCAACCCUGUGAACAUACCUAAAACGUUGCUUCGGCGGGAACAGACGGCCCCGUAACACGGGCCGCCCCCGCCAGAGGACCCCCUAACUCUGUUUCUAUUAUGUUUCUUCUGAGUAAAACAAGCAAAUAAAUUAAAACUUUCAACAACGGAUCUCUUGGCUCUGGCAUCGAUGAAGAACGCAGCGAAAUGCGAUAAGUAAUGUGAAUUGCAGAAUUCAGUGAAUCAUCGAAUCUUUGAACGCACAUUGCGCCCGCCAGUAUUCUGGCGGGCAUGCCUGUUCGAGCGUCAUUACAACCCUCAGGCCCCCGGGCCUGGCGUUGGGGAUCGGCGAGGCGCCCCCUGCGGGCACACGCCGUCCCCCAAAUACAGUGGCGGUCCCGCCGCAGCUUCCAUUGCGUAGUAGCUAACACCUCGCAACUGGAGAGCGGCGCGGCCACGCCGUAAAACACCCAACUUCUGAAUGUUGACCUCGAAUCAGGUAGGAAUACCCGCUGAACUUAAGCAUAUCA
rnacentral:rRNA from 1 species